rnacentral:rRNA from 1 species
UACCAGCACCCCGAGUGGUCGGGACGAUUAUUGGGCCUAAAGCAUCCGUAGCCGGCCUUACAAGUCCCCCGUUAAAUCCAACUGCUUAACAGAUGGGCUGCGGAGGAUACUAUAAGACUAGGAGGCAGGAGAGGCAAGCGGUACUCAGUGGGUAGGGGUAAAAUCCGUUGAUCCAUUGAAGACCACCAGUGGCGAAGGCGGCUUGCCAGAAUGCGCUCGACGGUGAGGCGCGAAAGCUAGGGGAGCAAACGGG